AUUUGAAAUCUGGCCCCCAGGGCCCGAGUUGUAAUUUGCAGAGGAUGCUUUUGGCGCGGUGCCUUCCGAGUUCCCUGGAACGGGACGCCAUAGAGGGUGAGAGCCCCGUCUGGUCGGACGCCUAGCCUGUGUAAAGCUCCUUCGACGAGUCGAGUAGUUUGGGAAUGCUGCUCUAAAUGGGAGGUAUAUGUCUUCUAAAGCUAAAUACCGGCCAGAGACCGAUAGCGCACAAGUAGAGUGAUCGAAAGAUGAAAAGCACUUUGAAAAGAGGGUUAAAUAGUACGUGAAAUUGUUGAAAGGGAAGCGCUUGUGACCAGACUUGGGCCCGGUGGAUCAUCCAGCGUUCUCGCUGGUGCACUCCGCCGGGUUCAGGCCAGCAUCAGUUCGCCGCGGGGGAAAAAGGCUUCGGGAACGUGGCUCCUACGGGAGUGUUAUAGCCCGUUGCAUAAUACCCUGGGGCGGACUGAGGUUCGCGCUCCGCAAGGAUGCUGGCGUAAUGGUCAUCAGCGACCCGUCUUG
rnacentral:rRNA from 1 species